rnacentral:misc_RNA from 1 species
CGUCUCGUAAAUGAAUUAGACCUAGCCCAUUCUACUGUGCUUGAAGAAGUAUCGGUACCUGCAGUAAACAUGUUCAAAAGUAAUGCUUUGAUUUCAGUGUCGGUGAGCUUCUCUCCCUCACCGUCAGCAUCCUCUUUCAAAGAAAUCAACGUACUCAACAUAUCUCUGUGCUUUUCGUAACCAUCAGAUUUAAUCUUGUGCUCCUCCACAAUCUCAGUCAAGAAAUCAUCAAAUCUCUUAUGGAGCUUCUUCAUUUUGGCUGCUACUCCUUGUAAGUCUAGCCAUUC